GUACUACUACCUCCGUCCCAAAAUUCUUGUCUUACAUUUGUCUAGAUACGGAUGUAUCUAAUACUAAAAUAUGACUUGAUACAUCCGUAUUUAGACAAAUCUAAGACAAGAAUUUUGGGACGGAGGGAGUACAAC
rnacentral:pre_miRNA from 1 species